GCAAUCCUGGGUGCUGACUGAUGGAUCAUGGGCUAGAUUGGGGCACUUAGCUCCCACCGAAGCCAGUUUCACAUGUCACGUUGUGGAGCCGUGUGAGAAUCGCAACAGGGUUGGUUGACCUCAGAUUUGCAGAGAAAAUAGUUUUGAAAGGCCUUUGCGGGCUCUCUGAGAAAUUGAUUUCGAAGAAGAUUGUCAUCAUUCGCCUCGAACACAGGGAGAAGACGGCCUUCUCUACACCAGGGGCUCUCAGCAAACACCAGCUCUGCCAACCCUGACCCUGAACUUCGCAGCUUCCAGAACCGUGGGAAGUCAACUCCUGCUGUUGGUGAGGUGCCUCGUCCACGGAGUUCUGUCGCAGCAGCCCCGACAGAGGGGCCUGGGAGGCAGGGCUCUCUUCCACCCCGCGUCUCUGGCUCCGCCUCUCCUGUGUCCUUGGGCUACCUGGAGGAAAGUGAGAAACCCUGAUCCCUUUGGCCAAGGUCUGCCUCCCAUCAGAAGCCACACUGUCCUUGGCCACAUCAAGAUUUGGCAGGGACGUUUGUCUGGAGACACUUGCUUUGCUGUCAUUAGAAAAUGGGCAGAAAUAUGAGACAAUAAACGAGCAUCCAGUGGAAUACAGGAGGUUUGCUGGUCUAAAAGCAAGGUCUUUAAAAUAGGGUUCGUUCAAUUGCAUGAGAAAGAGGAAAAUGGACCCAUCAAAACAUGGUGAAAAUGAGAAGUUUGGUGGAAGUCACUGGAAGGAGCAAGACGGAACUUUCUGGGGGGAUGUAGAGUUCUGCCUGUGGUUGGGGGUUUGGGUUACAUACGUGUAUGUGUUUGUCGCAACAUUGAAGGGUCCUCUUAA